GUCGAUGUAGCUCAGUUGGUUAGAGCGCGGCACUCAUAAAGCCGAGGUCGGAGGAUCAUUCCCUCCCAUCGACA
rnacentral:tRNA from 3 species